rnacentral:lncRNA from 1 species
AAAAUAAGUGGAUUUUUUAUGCAAAAAGGCCUUAUAUGUAUGUGAAAACUUUAAUAAUGCAGCGUUUGGUUAGAAAAUAAAAAUAGAAAAAGAUCCUUAUCUUCCUCUUUAUAUCCAAACAUUAAUUUUUUUAUCCAAGAAUAAUAGUUUUCGGUUAUCUCUAUCAAUACCUUCAUUGUUAUAUAAAACUAUCUAAAAUUGUUCUUAUCCUCGGAAACAACCUAAUUUUCAUCAAAACAUUAUUUUUCUUAUUCCCAUACUUGUACCUAUUCCUGUAAUAACUAGUUCUUGCUAAAAAUCUUUUACUGGUCAAAUAAUGUAAACUCUUACGUCCUUCAACUCAAACGCAUGAAUUCGCACGAUAAUCUCUUAUUAUAUUGUACAUUUACAUAGCAAAAAUUCAAAUUUGAUAAUUUUAAUAUUUAUCACAGGUUCAUUGGCUCAAUCCCUUAAAUAAUUGCUCGGUACCAGUUACCGACCGCCUCUAGAGCAAGUGGCAAAGAGUUUGGUGGUUGAUAUCCGAGAUUCAAGUUUGAAUCCUAAUUGAUUCACAUUUUCAGCUAAAUUUAUUUUUAAAUGAAAUAAAUGAAACAAGUAACGUGCUAGCUAUCUCUAAAAAAAAAAAAAAAAAAAAAUUGCUCGCUACCAGUUACUCGAUAUCCAUAUAUAAGGGCAAUGUUGUCUCCUUAUUAGCUAGUAUGAGACGAGAGGGGAUUGUGAUUCCCAUCUCUUCUCCCGAUAUUAGACAACUGUCUCUCCCAUUAUUUGUUAUUUGUUAUUUCCAUCCCUUAAAUAAAUGCACUACCGCAUUUGUUAAUGUGUACGUCAAAAUCUUAGGUAUCGUUUGGUUCGGGGAUAAGCAAAAAGUGGAUAUUCCGGAGAUAGGUAUAAAUUGAGGUAUAAGCGGGGAUUAGAUGAAUUUUGCGUUUGGAUGAAAAUUGAGUAUUCCUGAGAAUAAGAAAAAUAACGUUUGGUUAGGUAAGACGGGAUAAGAAUUAAAAUGAGUAUUUAUAAAUAAAAAAUAAUGAUAUUAUUUUUUUCUUUAUAUUAGAAUUUAAAUUUUUAUAUUUUAUAUUUAUAUUUUAAAAUUUAAAAUAUAAACUUUUAAAGUUUAAAAAUUAAAAUUAAAAUUUAAAAUUUUAAAAUCUCAAAUUUAUAAUUUUAAAAAAUUAAUUUUUUAAAUUUUGAACUUUAAUUUAAGAUGAAAUUUUAAUUUAAAAAUACAAAAUAUCAUAUUCUAAAUAUAAAAAAAUUAAAAUAUCAAAAUUUAAAAUUUUAAAUUAAACAAUUUAAAAUUUAAAUUUUUAAUUUUGUAAUUUUAAAAUUAUAAAUUUUAAUUUUUGAAUUUAGAAAAUUUAAAUUUUACUGGUGGAACAAGCAAGGUGAUCCUAAAAAUACUUUCUUUAAAAUUCAAAAAUU